UACGUAGGGGGCAAGCGUUGUCCGGAUUUAUUGGGCGUAAAGAGCUCGUAGGCGGUUUGUCGCGUCUGCUGUGAAAACUCGGGGCUUAACCCCGGGCCUGCAGUGGGUACGGGCAGACUAGAGUGCGGUAGGGGAGACUGGAAUUCCUGGUGUAGCGGUGAAAUGCGCAGAUAUCAGGAGGAACACCGGUGGCGAAGGCGGGUCUCUGGGCCGUAACUGACGCUGAGGAGCGAAAGCAUGGGGAGCGAACAGG
rnacentral:rRNA from 1 species